AACGUAGGAGACAAACGUUAUCCGGAGUUACUGGGCGUAAAGGGCGUGCAGGCGGUCGACUAAGUCUGGCGUGAAAGCUCUCGGCUAAACCGGGAGAGGUCGUUGGAUACUGGUUGACUAGAGGACGGUAGAGGCGUGUGGAAUUCCGGGUGUAGUGGUGAAAUGCGUAGAGAUCCGGAGGAACACCAGUGGCGAAGGCGGCAUCCUGGACCGGCAUUGACGCUGAGGAGCGAAAGCCAGGGGAGCAAACGGG
rnacentral:rRNA from 1 species